rfam:Schistosoma mansoni, Puerto Rico, WGS project CABG01000000 data, contig: 0141
AGCUUUCUUAAUCUGUGCUGAGAUUUCGUCAGACACCAACCCAUUAAGGCUGAUCAGGCUUCGAAGAUAAGUGAAGUU